UAUCAUUAAGUGAAUACAUAGCUUAAUGAAGGUAACCCAGGGAACUGAAACAUCUAAGUACCUGGAGGAAGAGAAAGAAAAAUCGAUUUUCUUAGUAGCGGCGAGCGAAAGGGAAAGAGCCCAAACCGGAAACUUGUUUCCGGGGUUGUGGACAUAACAUAAAAGUGGAGGCUAUUGUAACUGAAGAGAACUGGAAAGUUCCACCGUAGAAGGUAAUAGUCCUGUAAGUGAAACGAGAAGACCACGAGUUAUGAUCCAGAGUACCACGAGACACGUGAAACCUUGUGGGAAGCAGGGAGGACCACCUCCAAAGGCUAAAUACUACCUGAUGACCGAUAGUGAAGCAGUACCGUGAGGGAAAGGUGAAAAGAACCCCGGGAGGGGAGUGAAAUAGAACCUGAAACCGUGUGCCUACAACCGCUCAGAGCCCCUUAUGAGGGUGAUGAGGUGCUUUUUGUAGAACGAGCCAACGAGUUACGGUAUGUAGCAAGGUUAAGUACUUUAGGUACGGAGCCGAAGGGAAACCGAGUCUGAAUAGGGCGACUAGUUGCAUGCCGUAGACCCGAAACCGGGUGACCUAUCCAUGGCCAGGUUGAAGCGAGGGUAAAACCUCGUGGAGGACCGAACCACGUUGCUGUUGAAAAAGCAUGGGAUGAGCUGUGGAUAGCGGAGAAAUUCCAAUCGAACCCGGAGAUAGCUGGUUCUCUCCGAAAUAGCUUUAGGGCUAGCGUCGAGUAUGAGUAGUGGAGGUAGAGCACUGAAUGGGCUAGGAGGCAUAGCGCUUACCGAACCUUAUCAAACUCCGAAUGCCACAUACUUUGAGCUCGGCAGUCAGACUACGAAUGAUAAGAUCCGUUGUCAAAAGGGAAACAGCCCAGAUCGUCAGCUAAGGUCCCAAAGUGUAAGUU
rnacentral:rRNA from 1 species